rnacentral:tRNA from 1 species
GCCCGGGUAGCUCAGUCGGUAGAGCAAAGGAUUGAAAAUCCUUGUGUCGACGGUUCGAUUCCGCCCCCGGGCACCA